rnacentral:pre_miRNA from 1 species
UGGACAUAUUAUUGUAUUCGACUGUAUUCACGGCGUGAAACAGGGGAUUAUACGGUUUUCAAAUGGAAAGUGAAUCAAUUAACAUAUAGACUCCU